rnacentral:tRNA from 1 species
GGGGUUGUGGCUCAGAGAUAGAGCACUGACCUACAAUGUGUGAGGCACUGGGUUCGAUCCUCAGCACCACA